UGUGUGUCGAGCCUCUAAUUUUCGGCACCACGAAACUUGCGUGGAACAGGCUGUUAGAAUCCAGCCUUUUCAUGUAAAUUUCCAUGCGCCUAAUUUACUCUCAUCUCCCAUAGCA
rnacentral:precursor_RNA from 10 species